GGGGACUGGGCAACGGGCGGGCGCGCGCCGGAGCCGCGCUCUGAUUGGUCGGCGCAGCCGCCAUUUUGCCUUCGGCCGGGCCCGCCCCCAGCAGGAGGGUCGGGUUGUGUGGGGCGGCUGCCGAGCGUUGAUCGCUUCAGUGCUGGGAGCGGCCCCACAGUGUACAGACUGAGGGCGGUGCGGCAAGGGGGGCGUUAGAAAGCGAUUCGGCUCCUCUUUAGGCUCUUCUAGUGUCUGGCUGUGACGCAGGUGGGUCGUAGCACGGAGGGUUCCUGGAAGGCGGCUCUCCAGUGGCAAUGGGACUCAUGGGAAGGUUGUGCUGCCAUUAGGAUGGCUCGUCUUGCUGUCCACAAAGCACCAAUGGCUGAAUCUGAUGGGCCCAAGUGCUCCAUACGUGCCUAGAGGUCACAUGGAAGACAUACAGCACUGCAGGACCAUGCUUUGGGCCUUCCUGUGGGGAAAACAUGAGCCUAAAUUCUGCUCAGCAGAAUAAGAGAAAAUGAAAUUUCAUGUGGGGAAAACAUGAGCAUAAAUCCUGCUCAACAGAAUAAGAGAAAAUGAAAAGCCCAGGCACGGACCCUGAACUGUAGCAGGAGCCCCUUGAUUUGAUUUCACUAAGCUCUUGUGGGUCUUAAGCAAAUCACCCUCUGGUUCACACCGCCUUCCUCUGCGGUUGUUGCAUGCACCACAUGUUUUACGCUGAGCACUGAGUUGCACCCAGCAGGACCGCUCUGGAUAAGCAUUGCACAACACUUGUUGCAGCAGGGCUCUGCUGUGGCAGAAUGCGUGGCCAAGUAUUUCCUAACUGCUGCCAUCUACGGAUUUGAGCUUGAACAGAAAGGGAAACACCAGAUAGCUCAGUGUGGCUUUGGAAAGGCGUAGCAAAGUAGCCCUGUUAGCUUUCCUGAGUGGGAAAGAUGAAUUACAGAACCACCAGGAGCGUUAGGAUGGAGAGUGCUGCUGUACUAACCUGGGCUGUUCUUUGGCAGGGAGCCAUUUGACAGUAGCUCGGUGUCAGUAUUUCCAGCUGGAGCAACCAUAGCAGAAGAUGGAAGGGCUGGAAGUUCUAAUGUGUAAAUGAGACUGAGGUACACCUUUUUGGUCCAGCUCCUCUUGAGACAGGCCGUGUCCAGCCCCCAACAUCUGUGCUGAAGAAGGAAGGGAUAGCAGGAAUUUCGUAAGGUCGAUAAUUAGCAGCUCCCUUCUCUUAUUCCUUCUGCUCGUUUUCCCUGGACCUGCUGGAAAUCUGUGUGCAGUUAUGGGGCUGUGCCCUCACUGAAGUCUUCAAACAACUAGAAGAAGCUUCCCAUUUCCAGGCCCUAGUUGUUGUGGGGUACCCUUACAUCUGAAUCUUGGACACAGCAGGUCUCAAGCAAUCUUAGUGAGUUCACGAGUGCAUCAGUGACAGCUUCGUGGCACAGGUCAAGGAGCUAAUGGCAUAAGCUGCUGUCCUGGACGUGAUUCAUAAAAACAAGGAAGAAGAACUGGUCGGGAAUGUGGAGGUGGGGUCAGCCUUGGUGACAGUGACCGUGAGAUGACUGAGUUCAGGAUUCUAAAAGAACAGAGCAGGGUGAAAGGUAGGACCGCAACCUUGGUUUCAGAAGAAAAAGCUCUUGCCUCUUUGAAGAUCUGCUUGUAAUACAGUCGUGGAGAGAACAGGUUCAGAAUUGCUGGUUGGUAUUCAAGGAUCACUGCCAUGCUUAAGAAAGAUCCAUCCCAACAAGUAUGAAAUCAGGUGAAGGCAGCAGGAGGAAGGCAGGCAGGCUUUUCUCAGUAAUGCCCACAGAUAGGACGAGAAGCUCAAAUGGAAGCAUCUGAUAAUCCUUUCUUUAUAUUUACUGUGUAGGUGGACAAAACCCAGGACAGGUUGUUCUGAGAGGUUCUGAAGUUUCCAUUGAUGGAAAGACAUAUUCCAAACCAAAUGGAUGUGGUCCUUGGCAACCCGCUGUAGUUCACCUUGCCUGGGAGCAGUUGGACUGGGAUCAUCUCAAAAGUUUCCACCAACUUCAACAUUUCUUCGAUUUCUAGGAAAAUUUUUCCUAUCUGCCAACUGCAAAAAGACACAAAGCUCUACUUUGAUGCAAGAAGACAAGGUCACAAACCCCCACUGUAUCUCAUUCCAGUAGCCAGUCCACGAGAGUGACUUGGGUAUUAUCCAGCAGUGUUUGAAUGAUUCCUAUUUGCUGUGAAGGUGACCUGCAAAGCAAACCACCUUUUAUCUUCUGCUUCUUUAUGAUGUAUAAAGAAACCAGAGUUGUUAUUAAUUUA